UGAUUUUCAAGGCCUAACUUUGUAUGGGAAGUCACAUAUGGAUUAAUCUGUUAGUGGACAUUUACCCUAUGUCUGACUCGCCCAGAAGUAAAGCUUUACAAUUCAAGACUGCCCCAAGCAGCAGCACAGUGGGUAGAGCACAGUGGGUACACUGAAGAACAGACACAGGUUACAAAGCUGGCCAAGCUCACUUUCCUCCCUUACUGCCACAAAGGUGCUGAUCCUAAGGCAGCAGGAUUUACCCACUCAGCCUUCCUUCAGCUUAGCAGAUGGAGACCCAGAAGGAAUAACCUCAGCUUACCUGGGUGAUUUCUUCUUAAGUACAUACUUACUGUACUCCAGGAGAAGAAUCAUCAUUAUUUUAGCAAUGCAACACAACAUCUCUCUGCAACAAACUGAAUUCUCUCCUCUUAAGUUACAUAUGCCUACUUCAUUGUAAUUUUCCCCUUGGAUUCUCCAAGUUGUUCUCACCCACCACUAACAUUUCUACCCACAUUUCACACAUACUGGAAAAACUCAGGCAGAUAUCAAGGCCACCGGAAAAGCCACUGGCAUAGCCAGGAAUUGAACCUCAUUUUCCCCAUAUUAAACCACAUCUGUACCACCCACCUGCUUCCUGCCUCAUGUGUUAACUGCAAAAGCAUGCAAAAAAAAACAGUCACUGUGGUCAGAGAAAGAGCUUUGGUUACGUGGAGCUCUACUGAUGAUGUGAGAAGCAAAAGAAAGCACAGAUACUUCCUUCUCAGCUUUGUAAAGGAUGCCUGCAGAGCUUGCCUUGUUAAACAGCUCAUGGCUACCACCCCUGCAUGCUUCUGAAACAUCUCCCCUUACACAUUCAGACAAUGCAAGUCAUGCAGUUGUUGCUACAAAGCAACUUGGUAAAAAUAAUAAUAAUUAGUAAAAAAUUGCCCAUGAAAUCAACACUUUUCUCACUUCAUAUUUUGGAGGUUCCUCUCCAUUUAAACAUUCCAGUGAUUAUAUGGAGCAAAGAGGAUUCCUUAAGGUUUUCUCACCACUACAGAAUGCUUGCCUUCCUUUUGUCACAGUAGGAUUUUGUGUUUGCCCUCCAACAAAGACACUUAACCAUGACCUUACGUAGCAACAGCUCCCAUGGAUGUGACUAAUACAACAAGGCAGGUGUAGGUCUCCUUUCUUUACCACUUCCCCUCUCCUACAGCACAGAAACACUGCUCUUCCCAUAGAAAAAACAAGCAAGUAAUAAGAGGAACAAUUCUGACCAUCAUUUACUGACCACUGACACAGGUAACAGCCCAAGGCAAUGCUUACAGCCAUAAGGUUUCUGUCAAAAAAAAGCCAUUCCCUGUAUUCAGCUGAACAGAGCUUUUGGCCAAGUAACCAAGAGCACAUCAGCUGCUUCUAAUCCUUUGUCUUGGAGUUGCAUUCAGCAUCAAAAUAACAUGUGCCUCUUAUAAAGCCAGGUAAAGGAGGUACACAUAGGAGCCACCUCCCACCUACCACGUGCUGGCCUACCUCUCUGCAACCUCCCCGCAACCUCCCCUGACAUUUAAACCAUGUCCUCUCUGCACCAUGCCUGUAUCAAGGUACCAACACAGAGUAAAUGAGAAUCCAGCCCAGGGUACUGCAGAGCUUAGCCUAACACAUUAGAGGAUGAUUACAGAACUGAAGGUUAUUUAUUGUAUGUUAGGGCAUGGUGGGGGGGGGUGGGGAAAGGUUUUUUUAUUCAUUUGGUUUAUAGUCCUAUCUGAAUAAAGGUAAACACAUAGGGAUUAUAAAUGAAAUAAAUCUGAUGCAGAAUAGAAUGGGGGUCGUACA